GACGAACGCUGGCGGCGUGCCUAAUACAUGCAAGUAGAACGCUGAAGCGAGGAGCUUGCUCUUCUUGGAUGAGUUGCGAACGGGUGAGUAACGCGUAGGUAACCUGCCUUGUGGCGGGGGAUAACUAUUGGAAACGAUAGCUAAUACCGCAUAACAAUGGAUGACACAUGUCAUUUAUUUGAAAGGGGCAAUUGCUCCACUACAAGAUGGACCUGCGUUGUAUUAGCUAGUAGGUGAGGUAAUGGCUCACCUAGGCGACGAUACAUAGCCGACCUGAGAGGGUGAUCGGCCACACUGGGACUGAGACACGGCCCAGACUCCUACGGGAGGCAGCAGUAGGGAAUCUUCGGCAAUGGGGGCAACCCUGACCGAGCAACGCCGCGUGAGUGAAGAAGGUUUUCGGAUCGUAAAGCUCUGUUGUAAGUCAAGAACGGGUGUGAGAGUGGAAAGUUCACACUGUGACGGUAGCUUACCAGAAAGGGACGGCUAACUACGUG
rnacentral:rRNA from 1 species